GACGAACGCUGGCGGCGUGCUUAACACAUGCAAGUCGAACGGAAAGGCCCUGCUUUUGUGGGGUGCUCGAGUGGCGAACGGGUGAGUAACACGUGAGUAACCUGCCCUUGACUUUGGGAUAACUUCAGGAAACUGGGGCUAAUACCGGAUAGGAGCUCCUGCUGCAUGGUGGGGGUUGGAAAGUUUCGGCGGUUGGGGAUGGACUCGCGGCUUAUCAGCUUGUUGGUGGGGUAGUGGCUUACCAAGGCCUUGACGGGUAGCCGGCCUGAGAGGGUGACCGGCCACAUUGGGACUGAGAUACGGCCCAGCCUCCUACGGGAGGCAGCGGUGGGGAAUAUUGCACAAUGGGCGGGAGCCUGAUGCAGCAACGCCGCGUGCGGGAUGACGGCCUUCGGGUUGUGAACCGCUUUCGCCUGUGACGAAGCGUGAGUGACGGUAAUGGGUAAAGAAGCACCGGCUAACUACGUG
rnacentral:rRNA from 1 species